GCUAAGCCCUAAACAUUGAUAGAAUAUUUUCUACCAUUCUAUCCGCCAGAGAAUUACUAGUGAAAAACUUGAAACUCAAAGGACUUGGCGGUGUCCCACUUCGACCUAGAGGAGCCUGUCCUAUAAUCGAUACUCCCCGUUCAACCCAACCUCAACUUGCAUAUUCAGCCUAUAUACCGCCGUCAACAGUCUACCCCAUGAGGGCUUAAUAGUAGACAUAACAGUUUCACCACUAACACGUCAGGUCAAGGUGUAGCAAAUGCUGAGGAAAGCGAUUGGCUACAUUUUUUUAAUAAAAAUAAACGAAAUGCAACAUGAAAUCAUGCAUGAAGGUGAAUUUAGCAGUAAGAUAAACAAGAGUGCUUAUCUUAAAUUCGCUCUGGGACGCGC
rnacentral:rRNA from 1 species